GACGAACGCUGGCGGCGUGCUUAACACAUGCAAGUCGAGGGCUCGGGGCAACCCGAGACCGGCGAACGGGUGCGUAACACGUGAGCGACCUGCCCUGGAGUGGGGAUAGCCGGCCCAACGGCCGGGUAAUACCGCAUGCGCUUCUUUGGGGACAUCCCCGAGGAAGGAAAGUAGCAAUACGCUCGAGGAGGGGCUCGCGGCCUAUCAGCUAGUUGGCGGUGUCACGGACCACCAAGGCGACGACGGGAGCUGGUCUGAGAGGAUGGCCAGCCACAUUGGGACUGAGAGACGGCCCAGACUCCUACGGGAGGCAGCAGUGGGGAAUCUUGCGCAAUGGCCUAACGGCUGACGCAGCGACGCCGCGUGUGGGACGACGCCUCGGU
rnacentral:rRNA from 1 species